rnacentral:sRNA from 1 species
GAUACCAGGGUCAAAGGGUUAUGCGUUUCAUGCUUGCAUGAAAAAGCAUGACUUUGGGACCCGUAAAACAUGAGAAAGUAGCCCGAACAGGGCGGAUUUCGAAUGUUUUCAGGAUUGCGGGAG